GGGGGUCCGGAAGUGUUAGGAGCCUCGCGAAGGGUUGGUGUUCAUCUGCUUGCAGAGGAAAGCCAGAGACGGGGUCUUGCCACACUGUCCCAGCUGGUCUCUAACUUCUGGGCUCGAGCAAUCCUCCCACCUUGGCCCCACAAAGUGCAAAGAUUACAGACGUGAGCCACUGCACCUGGCCUAAUCCUUAAAACACAUCUGAGAGGUCCAUACCCCUGAACUUCUCAAAUAUUUCCAAUGCUCAUCACUGGGUCUUUUGCAUGGUCAAAAGGGUUGCAGGUGAUUCUUCUGUGUUGUAAAGUUGAAGAGCAGCUUAAUCCACACUUCCUUUUUGGUCUCACUUCUCCCCUUUGUUCCGGUCAAACCCUGACUGCUUCAAAAGGAAAACUGAGGUCUGACUCUGUGGCCCAGGCUGGAGCACAGUGGCAUGAUCACAGCUCACUGCGACCUCCACCUCCUGGGAUCCUCCCACCUCAGCCUCCAGAAUAGCUGAGACUACAGGCAUGCACCACCAUGUUUGGCUAAUUUUUAGGUUUUCUUUUUUUUUUAAGAGACAAAGUCUUACUAAAUUGCCUAGGCUUGUCUAGAACUCCCAGACUCAAGCAAGUCUCCUGCCUCAGUCUCCCAAAGUACUGAGAUUACAGUAUUUAUCCUGAUUGCCUACUCACUAGAGUUCUGGACCUGUUUUCCAAAGAAUUCCACAGUGGGGGCCACCUUGUACUGGCAGUUGAAAAACAGGAAAUAGACAGAGAUCAUCCAUUUCCCCUGAGUUCACUGAAACACUCCAGUAAGAAGAUUGAAAAUAGCAGACCGGGGCCGAGCGCAGUGGCUCAUGCCUGUAAUCCCAGCACUUUGGGAGGCCGAGGCAGGCUGAUCAUCUGAGGUCAGGAGUUCGAGACCAGCCUGGCCAACAUGGUGAAAUCCUGUCUCUACUAAAAAUACAUAAAAAUAAAUAUAUGUCACU
ensembl:lncRNA novel transcript